CUUCCUUAUCUGACGCGAUUGAUCGCGGCUCGGUCGUUCUCUGUCGUCGGUGCGGUAGUUCGUUGUGGUAGUAGGUUUACGGUAGUGACGACGGAGAGAGGACGAAUCGGUUGUCGGCGAGAGCGACAAGGACGCCGACGACUUGUUUGCAGCAGCAGCAGGAAGCGUGCAAGCGAAGCAGGGACCGCUGCGUAUACCGCUGCGUCGAUUUAGUUUCUCCUGUGCGCUGGAGCGUCGUGUUAGCCUGGCUUGGUUGUCCCCGGCGCCCCUGUCUGUCGAUAUUUUCCAUUCUUAACACGAAGACCCCCGGACAAAGUGCGAUACCGACGUCGACGAUGAUUAAUAUUAAUAACAACAGUAAAAAACGCUACAACAUCGCAAAAUAGAGUCGAGUGCUUCUAAUCCUGAAAUAAUACAGAUACAGACGUUGCGUUCUUCUUCCGUCUUCAUCCCCUGCAAUUUUUUUUUGACGGCGUGAAACAAGUGCCGCUAUAGCGAGCGAGUGUUAGUUUGUUUGCUGAUUUAUUUCGGAUCUGGAUUUUGUGAAGUACCUAUAGCAUUUUUUUUAAAAAACGUGAAUGUUGUGCACCCGAAAUGACGACGCGUCGCCGUCUCCUCGUUGUCGCCGACGUCUUCUAAAUCCCAAACAGAAACGAUUUGCUUAUUAUUAUUGCUUCUCCUGCUGACGGUGGUGUUUUAAGGAUAAUCCCCAAAAAUGAUUAUAAGGAAAGAUAAUCUUAUAAUUAUUUGGCUGUGUGUUCUCUCGUCGGUGAUGGGGUACGAAGAACAAAAGUUCGCGAUGGAACCCCAAGAUCAGACGGCGGUGGUUGGUUCCCGGGUUACCCUACCGUGUCGGGUAACCGGUAAGUCGGGAAUUUUGCAAUGGACCAAAGACGAUUUUGGACUGGGAACGCACAGAAAUCUGAGCGGAUUCGAUCGAUAUACGAUGAUAGGAAGCGACGAAGAAGGUGAUUUUUCUUUGGACAUCUACCCGGUGAUGUUGGACGACGAUGCACGUUAUCAGUGUCAGGUGUCACCGGGUCCGCUGGGUCAGCCGGGCAUUCGGAGCAAAUUUGCCACGUUGACGGUGUACGUUCCGCCCGAUCCUCCCCGAAUAGUCCAGGGGAAGCACCUGAUCACGACGGAGGACCGGGAAAUAGAACUCGAAUGCAUAAGCUACGGUGGGAAGCCUGCAGCUGAAAUAACUUGGAUUGACGGACAUGGUAACGUGCUGACCGAUGGCAUCGAAUACAUCGUCGAAGAAUUGUCCGAUGGCAGAAGAUUCACGGCGAAAUCUAUACUCAAACUUACGCCGAAAAAAGAACAUCACAACACCACGUUUACGUGCCAAGCACAGAAUACGGCAGAGAGGACGCAUCGAUCUGCAAAACUUUCUCUAGAGGUGAAAUACGCUCCGAAAGUGACGGUGUCAAUUGUGUCGGAAACGUCGUCGAAUGGCAGAAUAUUAGAAGGUAGCGAUGUGAGGUUGAAAUGUAACGCGGACGCAAAUCCCCCGGAUCUCACGUACAGGUGGUUUUUAAACGACGAGCUCGUCGUAGGCGAUUACACCACCGAACUACUCUUACACAACGUCACGCGAAAGUACCACGAUUCCAUGGUCAAAUGCGAGGUCCACAAUCCGGUCGGUAAAAGCGAAGAGAGCGAAACUUUGGACAUUAGCUAUGCUCCAUACUUUCGAAAUAAACCAAAGUCAGUGCAGGCCGAUUUAGGAAGUACAAAGACUAUUACGUGUGAUGUGGACGGUAAUCCUCUGCCGGAAAUAACGUGGAUAAAGGAAGACACGAACGAGGUGGUCAGCAACAACCCCAACUUAACAGUAAAAGUAGAGAGAAAAACUGCAGGACGAUAUCUUUGCAAGGCGCACAUCCCAGGAUUUCCCGAUGUCGAAGCAAGUGCCGCCAUCUACCUCAAGGGUCCUCCGAAUAUCAUAAGUCGUAGGACCCAGUUUGGUAUAGAAGGCGAUAAUGUACGUGUUGAGUGUACCGCUUAUUCUGUCCCUGCGGCAGAUCACGUCAUUUGGACGUUUAACGGGAAAGAAGUGGACGUACACGAUCAGGACUUCUCCAUCCUCGAGGACCCCAUCCCGGAGGGCAUCAAGUCCACCCUGAUCAUCAGGGAGUCGCAGGGCAGACACUUCGGUAACUACAAUUGCACGGUGUCGAAUGCUUACGGAACGGACGUGGUCGAAAUCAAUUUGAUACCGCAAAUUACCGUUUCAGAAAACUUCCCAAUACUUAUCGUGAUUGUGGGCGUCGUCGGGGCCAUCAUAGUUCUCGUCAUUGUCGUCAUGAUCGUCUUCCUUUGCCAAAGACAGGGAAACAAGAAAUCUCAGCCUGAUGGAGAAAAUAACACAAUGGAGAAGCAGUGCAAAGAGUCGGAUAGAAGUUCCAACAUUUCCGAUCUUAAAAUAGAUCUGAGGACGGGAUCUUCGGUCAGUAACGUCCAUUGUGACGAUUAUGUGCCGGGAAUCGAAUCAGAAACGGGCAGCGAAUCGGUUAUAACAAGAAUAGGGGUUCCAUUGGCAGGACCGGUGGCUAUUUCGAACCAGGACAUUUACAGGUACUCGGCGGAUUAUACGGAUGCCAAUUUUGCCUCAAAAGACGGGCAAAACAAUAACGGUUACGUACCGUAUGUCGAUUACGCUCGAGAUUACAACCCUCCAAUGCCUCAACCUCCUCCCAUGGAAUCAUCAGAGAGCUUACAGUCCAGAGCGCUCCAAUUAAACGCCAUGCAAGCCCCUCAUUACACAAUCUCGUCCACCAUAACACUAAACGACCUUAACAGUAGCAGCAUUCCUAACGGACACACGACAAUGGGGGGCUCCAUAGAUCCCCGUUACAGUGCGGCCUACGGAAACCCCUAUUUGAGGAGUUCUAGCGUCGGCUUGCCCACGCCAAAUACCGCGAAUCCGGUGGCCACACCGGCGCCCCCGCCCUAUUCAAGGGACACAUCCUCCACCUCCCGUACCUUAGUGAACUGUAGUAAUGCCGCGAUGAACAUUUGUGCGGGCAGUGCAGCAGCGAACGGUGUUGCGGUCACGGCGGCUACCCCCCAGCUGACACGACUGCCGAACUCGCCCACCAAUCACCAGUACAUAACGACGACGAAGAGGGGGGCGUUAGCGACGCACGUGUGAGAAGCGGCCCUCGUCGAAACGACGAACACGAAAAGACUGACGUUUGUAAUUAUUUAAAUUGAAGUUUCGAACGACGAAUUUUUAUAGUAACGUUUCGAUUUUUUAUGCAGGAAUAGUAGUUAGAAAGCAGAAGAAGUAGUAACGUAGAGAAUGGCCUCCUCCGAAGUCGCCCAGAGGUAGGUGACGAGGCCAUAGUAAAGGAUAAUAAUCCCCCUGUUAGGACAAUUUUUUCAAAUUAAAUAAUAAUGGAAGAGUUUGCCCGUCUGUAGGAACGAAACAUUUGUCAGUAGAACGUUGUUUGGAUAAUGAACAAACGAAAUUAAGUUCUUCCUGCUACCGUCUGAUAUCCUCUAGGUCCCAGGAAACCGGCGAUAGAUAGUUACGAAAAAAUAGAAACAAGAAAAUGAAAUUCCAAAAGUGUACUAUAUAUACAAGAGUUUGUUGUUUU
rnacentral:misc_RNA from 1 species